AAAUUGAAGAGUUUGAUCAUGGCUCAGAUUGAACGCUGGCGGCAGGCCUAACACAUGCAAGUCGAACGGUAACAGGAAGCAGCUUGCUGCUUUGCUGACGAGUGGCGGACGGGUGAGUAAUGUCUGGGAAACUGCCUGAUGGAGGGGGAUAACUACUGGAAACGGUGGCUAAUACCGCAUAACGUCGCAAGACCAAAGAGGGGGACCUUCGGGCCUCUUGCCAUCAGAUGUGCCCAGAUGGGAUUAGCUUGUUGGUGAGGUAACGGCUCACCAAGGCGACGAUCCCUAGCUGGUCUGAGAGGAUGACCAGCCACACUGGAACUGAGACACGGUCCAGACUCCUACGGGAGGCAGCAGUGGGGAAUAUUGCACAAUGGGCGCAAGCCUGAUGCAGCCAUGCCGCGUGUAUGAAGAAGGCCUUCGGGUUGUAAAGUACUUUCAGCGGGGAGGAAGGUGUUGUGGUUAAUAACCGCAGCAAUUGACGUUACCCGCAGAAGAAGCACCGGCUAACUCCGUGCCAGCAGCCGCGGUAAUACGGAGGGUGCAAGCGUUAAUCGGAAUUACUGGGCGUAAAGCGCACGCAGGCGGUCUGUCAAGUCGGAUGUGAAAUCCCCGGGCUCAACCUGGGAACUGCAUUCGAAACUGGCAGGCUUGAGUCUUGUAGAGGGGGGUAGAAUUCCAGGUGUAGCGGUGAAAUGCGUAGAGAUCUGGAGGAAUACCGGUGGCGAAGGCGGCCCCCUGGACAAAGACUGACGCUCAGGUGCGAAAGCGUGGGGAGCAAACAGGAUUAGAUACCCUGGUAGUCCACGCCGUAAACGAUGUCUACUUGGAGGUUGUGCCCUUGAGGCGUGGCUUCCGGAGCUAACGCGUUAAGUAGACCGCCUGGGGAGUACGGCCGCAAGGUUAAAACUCAAAUGAAUUGACGGGGGCCCGCACAAGCGGUGGAGCAUGUGGUUUAAUUCGAUGCAACGCGAAGAACCUUACCUGGUCUUGACAUCCACGGAAGUUUUCAGAGAUGGAUUGGUGCCUUCGGGAACCGUGAGACAGGUGCUGCAUGGCUGUCGUCAGCUCGUGUUGUGAAAUGUUGGGUUAAGUCCCGCAACGAGCGCAACCCUUAUCCUUUGUUGCCAGCGGUCCGGCCGGGAACUCAAAGGAGACUGCCAGUGAUAAACUGGAGGAAGGUGGGGAUGACGUCAAGUCAUCAUGGCCCUUACGACCAGGGCUACACACGUGCUACAAUGGCGCAUACAAAGAGAAGCGACCUCGCGAGAGCAAGCGGACCUCAUAAAGUGCGUCGUAGUCCGGAUUGGAGUCUGCAACUCGACUCCAUGAAGUCGGAAUCGCUAGUAAUCGUGGAUCAGAAUGCCACGGUGAAUACGUUCCCGGGCCUUGUACACACCGCCCGUCACACCAUGGGAGUGGGUUGCAAAAGAAGUAGGUAGCUUAACCUUCGGGAGGGCGCUUACCACUUUGUGAUUCAUGACUGGGGUGAAGUCGUAACAAGGUAACCGUAGGGGAACCUGCGGUUGGAUCACCUCCUUACCUUAAAGAA
rnacentral:rRNA from 1 species